rnacentral:pre_miRNA from 1 species
AUCACCCGGGAAUCUUGUUAAAAUGCAGAUUACGAUUCAGUAGGUCAGAGCUGGAGCCUAGGAUUCUGCAUUUCUCACAAGCUCCUAGGUAAUACCAA